AUUGAACGCUGGCGGCAUGCCUAACACAUGCAAGUCGAACGGAAGUAAAGGGGCAACCUUUUACUUUAGUGGCGGACGGGUGCGGAAUGCGUAGGAAUCUACCCUAAAGUGGGGGAUAACUCGGGGAAACUCGAGCUAAUACCGCAUAUGCUCUACGGAGUAAAGGGGGCGCAAGCUCUCGCUAUAGGAUGAGCCUACGUCGGGAAUUAGCUAGUUGGUGGGGUAACGGCUCACCAAGGCAACGAUCCGUAGCUGGUCUGAGAGGAUGACCAGCCACACUGGGACUGAGAUACGGCCCAGAAUCCUACGGGAGGCAGCAUUGGGGAAUAUUGGACAAUGGGCGAAAGCCUGAUCCAGCAAUGCCGCGUGUGUGAAGAAGGCCUUCGGGUUGUAAAGCACUCUCAGUGGGGAAGAAAAACUUAGGGUUAAUACCCCUAAGCAUUGACGUUACCCACAGAAGAAGCACCGGCUAACUCUGUGCCAGCAGCCGCCGUAA
rnacentral:rRNA from 1 species